rnacentral:lncRNA from 1 species
UCCAGAUCCAGAAGGUUUAUUCUUCAGUGGCACCCUCUUCCCCUUUCUCGUUCAUUGUCAUGCACAAAGCAUGCGUUGUGUGGAGCAUGCAUUUUUGGUGAAAUAAUGAUCUCACAUGAAGUCACUUGAUACUGGACCAAACAUGGUUAAUUUUUUUAGAGCAAAAACUGUUUUAUAAUCAUAAUUUAUCUUGCUAUUGUUUGGUUAGGAUUUAUUUGGAGUGUUUAUCCACCUAUUUUUGAGUCCUCUUGGUUUGAUACACAGAUUUGAUUCAAUCAUGAACAAUGAUUUGCAAGCAAACCCUCUUCUGCCCAAAAUCACAAUGGUUGGCAUUUCAAUGAGCGAAGGGGGACAUAUGAGCAAAGCCAACCUAAUGAAAAUAAGGUAAUAUGGCAUUUAAUGAUUGGGACACUAGACCAGUUGAGACAUUACAAUUAUUUGACUGAUUUUAGAUUUACAACGCUCUUUAAGAUUAAUUGUUGCCACUUGGAUAUUCCAUUUUGGACUGCACUUGCACUUGGUCAGCACGAUUCUACAAAUGAGUAGUCCCUUUCUAUCUUGGUUUUGACUACUAGGAACCUUUUUUGAAAUGUGUAUGGUUGUCCCAGAUCUUGAGGGAAACGAGGGUCACACGGUCAAGAGGACCACGAGGUCGCCGGCGGAUGACGCACUCGCCGCUCCACCCAACACUGCCGUGCGCUGCCACUGUUCAUCUUCGCCACGGGUCAGGGUCCUGACGCUGGCACCAGCGGCCCAACGUAGGUUUCAUGGUGGAAGAUUCUCUUUUCCACGAAGCUCCACACCACGCAUGGCAGUUGUACAGACCUAGCAUCAUCGUUUUUUAGACGCAUUUGCACAAAGACGUCGUCGGACCUGUUUUUCUAUAAACGCGGAUUUUGGGUGUUACAAGAACCAAGUUUUGCUUAUCCACAGAUUAGUUAGAUUAGCCAAACAAAGUUUUAGUUUGUUAGACCCUGAAACACAUUUUUAGCUAACUCGUUUCCUAAAACUAGCUAUCCAAACAACCCCUAAGGUGCGUUGAAGAUUACUUCUACCAGGUCUUUUCAGACUCUACUUUACUGUUUUUCUCCAAGGCUUUCUAUCAAAUUAAAUGAUAGAUUAGGAUUUUGUUCCUUCAUUUAAUAUUUUUUGUAUAAUAUAUAUUUGUUUACUUUAACCGCAGAAGUCUUGUUAUGAUCUGCCUCGGUCAAUGCUAUUUAAAGAUAAUGGAGUCGGUGUUGGACAACCGGAGAAUGGUGUCGUUGUCGAGCUGCUACAGAAUUGUUGUCGUGGUGCCAUCGACCCUCCCACGUUAGCUGUGAGCGGGAGGGCGCAAUGUGUGGCCUCGAACUGCGAGGCUAAGGCGAUGCCCCUGUCGCCAUACUAUUUCAAUCACAUCCUCUUGGGCCCAAAGAAGCUUCUCUAUCAGCCAUGUGCCUUCCCCUCUGCAUGAUCAGUUUUUCGUAUUGAUUUGGGUAAUAUACAUAGUAGUGCUAAUUUGCUUGUUCUUUUGAGGUUGUUUUGACUGAAAAUACUAUUUUUUGAUCUUUCAGUUCUUGGCUUUAAAAAUCAUGGAGAUGGUGUAGCCCGAUUGAACGGCUGCGGGGCGACCGACUGAAUCUGGCAUCAGUCGUCAGAUGCCUAGCAUCACCCUUUUGGGAUCCCUUGGCAUGUCAUGCUUCCUUUCUUCACGCCAUAUUCAGUUUAUAUGGAACUAAUCUCAUAAUUCAUAUGCGUCUAAGUUAGCCGCAUAUUCAUGUUGACUAAUGAAGAUAUUAUUGCAUGCCUAUGACUACGAAUAAGGAGUGAAUCAGGUAAUAUAAUCAUAAGGUAUGCAGGUCUUUCUCACAUUUUUCCCGUGGCAACGCAUGGGCAUUCUACUAUCUAAUUAACUAAUGGGCUGUGUUGUUUACGCAUUAUAGGAUGACAACAUCAGUCUUACUGGCAAGGGGUAAGGAGUCCGAAGGGGUGCUGUACAGAUCGUAGCUCGAGCUGGAAGUGAGUGCCUUCUCUGUGGUUUUCAUGUUUGUAUUGUGAUGCUAUUCGCAAUUGAAACAAUUCUGCUUUCACUUGUUAUUCUCCAGAGUUGGUCUUCCUCUGAAUAGACCGCUUAUGUUUCACAUCUACACAAGCAAUUUCGUUGACUUUAUACAUGUACGUGUAACUCCUGUAAGAAUGGGAUUCACAAGUCGGAAAUUUCCAAAGGCAACUCCAGGAAGAGAUCAACAUGCAUAUGGCGUUGACAAGUUUCUGCUUAU